UUUGUGAUAGAGUUAUGGUGUUGAUUUAAGGUCAAGUAACUACACAACCUAGCAUAAAUAUGUAUUAAGUAAAAAAAAAUAAAAAAAAUAAUGACAGUUACGUCAUUAAAAAGAAAACUAUAUGGGCAUUUUCAUUUCCAUAAGUUUUUGAGCUAGUUUAUCUCUAGCAAAUUUGGAUGGACUAGUAUGGUUAUUAACAGACAUUUAC
rnacentral:lncRNA from 1 species